AUUGAACGCUGGCGGCAGGCUUAACACAUGCAAGUCGAGCGAGCGGCGGACGGGUGAGUAAUGUCUGGGAAACUGCCUGAUGGAGGGGGAGAACUACUGGAAACGGUAGCUAAUACCGCAUACCAUCAGAAGUGCCCAGAUGGGAUUAGCUAGUAGGUGGGGUAAUGGCUCACCUAGGCGAAGAUCCCUAGCUGGUCUGAGGGUAUGACCGGCAACACGGGAACUGUGACACGGCCCAGUCGCCUACGGGAGGGAGCAGUGGGGAAUAUUGCAAACUGGGCGCAAGCCUGAUGCAGCCAUGCCGGGUGUGUGAAGAAGGCCUUCGGGUUGUAAAGCACUUUCAGCGAGGAGGCGUUACUCGCAGAAGAAGCACCGGCUAACUCCGUGCCAGCAGCCGCGUUAUAC
rnacentral:rRNA from 1 species